rnacentral:rRNA from 1 species
UACGUAGGGGGCAAGCGUUGCCCGGAAUCAUUGGGCGUAAAGCGCGUGUAGGCGGCUCGAUAAGUCUGCUGUGAAAGUCCAGGGCUCAACCCUGGGAUGCCGGUGGAUACUGUCGAGCUCGAGUCCGGAAGAGGCGAGUGGAAUUCCUGGUGUAGCGGUGAAAUGCGCAGAUAUCAGGAGGAACACCAAUGGCGAAGGCAGCUCGCUGGGACGUGACUGACGCUGAGACGCGAAAGCGUGGGGAGCAAACAGG